rnacentral:rRNA from 1 species
AGCAGUGGCAGACGGGUGAGUAACACGUGGGAACCUACCUAGGGGUACGGAAUAACUCAGGGAAACUUGUGCUAAUACCGUAUACGACCUUCGGGUGAAAGAUUUAUCGCCCCUAGAUGGGCCCGCGUUGGAUUAGCUAGUUGGUGGGGUAAAAGCCUACCAAGGCGACGAUCCAUAGCUGGUCUGAGAGGAUGAUCAGCCACACUGGGACUGAGACACGGUCCAAAAUCAUACGGGAGGCAGCAGUAGGGAAUCUUGGACAAUGGGCGAAAGCCUGAUCCAGCCAUGCCGCGUGAGUGAUGAAGGCCUUAGGGUUGUAAAGCUCUUUCGCCAGGGAAGAUAAUGACGGUACCUGGAUAAGAAGCCCCGGCAAACUUCGUGCCAGCAGCCGCGGUAAUACGAAGGGGGCUAGCGUUGUUCGGAAUUACUGGGCGUAAAGCGCACGUAGGCGGUUUUCCAAGUUGGAGGUGAAAUCCCUGGGCUCAACCCGGGAACUGCCUCCAAAACUGGAUGACUCGAGUCCGAGAGAGGUGAGUGGAAUUUCCAGUGUAGAGGUGAAAUUCGUAGAUAUUGGAAAGAACACCAGUGGCGAAGGCGGCUCACUGGCUCGGUACUGACGCUGAGGUGCGACAGCGUGGGGAGCAAACAGG